AUGACACCUCAGGCAGCACAAACUCCACCGCGUACAAGGUUACGAGCAGGGGUAAUUCAACCUGUUAAUUAUAAGAUCAAGUUUCGUCUAACUUGUUCCACAGGAGAACCUAGUACGUUCCAAGAAGCAUGCAAAGAUUCAAGGUGGAAGAAAGCCAUGGAAGAAGAGUUCCAAGCACUUCAGAAAAACAUAACAUGGCACUUGGUCCCGCCUCAUCAAGGUAAAAAUUUGAUAGACUAUAAAUGGGUGUUCGGAAUAAAGAAAAAGUCAGAUGGCACCAUAGAACGCUACAAGGCUAGACUUGUUGUAAAAGGAUUCAAACAAAGGUAUGGCAUAGACUAUGAUGACACAUUUAGUCAUGUUAUUAAAGCUGCCACCAUACGUCUUGUUUUGUCCAUUGUUGUAUCUAGAGGAUGGAGUCUUAGACAGCUAGAUGUGCAGAAUGCGUUUCUUCAUGGUGUUCUAGAAGAGAGAGUGUACAUGAAGCAACCACUACUAGGGAAAAGUCUAUACACAUAA
rnacentral:rRNA from 1 species